GGAUGUAGGGACAAUCUGGCUGCAACCCCAUUGAUCACCAGGGUUGAUUCGGCUGAUCUGGCUGGCUAGGCAGAUGUCCACUUCCACCUUCUCGACUCCAUGUGUGUCCCUCCCAACACAGCAUUCUUGUUCAAAGAGGACAACCAUCCCUGAUAGAGGAGAACCAACCUUUGGCCAAGGGUAUACAAGUAACUACACUCCCCUGCCAGAACCUCCAAACAUGCUCUCAAGAAAAGGGGGCAGCCAGGCGCUGGUGGCUCACGCCUGUAAUCCUAGCUACUCAGGAGGCUGAGAUCUGAGGAUCGCAGU
rfam:Dipodomys ordii contig_8237, whole genome shotgun sequence.